UUUAAAUACACUCUACCAAAUAUCAAUGCUCAUAAACACAUUUUUUUUCACUCCAAUAAUCUCCGUCAAAAGGAUCGUACGCUGAAUCCUCUUCUCUAAAUACACUUCAAUCGUAUAGAAAGAAUCGGAAACUACAGUCCUCUCGUAAACACCUUUUUUCACCCCCAAUUCAAUCUCCGUCAAAAGGAUCGUAUGCUGAAUCUUCUUCUCUAAAUACACUUCAAUCGUGUUUAAAGAAUCGGAAACUACAGUUCUCUCGUAAACACAUUUUUUCACUCCAAUUCAAUCUCCGUCAAAAGGAUCGUACGCUGAAGCCUUUUCUCUAAAUACACUUCCAUCAUAUAUAAGGAAUCAGAAACUACAUUCGUCUCGUAAAUACGUUUUCGCCGAAUGGUAAAUGUUGGAAACUUUUUUUUUUUUUCGCUGUAAAUCAUCAUCGGAUAUUGAACCAACAUCCGAGGGGGCUUUUGUUGUUGUUGUUGUUGUUGUUGAUAUAUUACUGCCGUUGAGCUUUUUCCUUCACUAUAAAAAAUAAUAAUAAUAAUAGUUGAAUAAAGAGACGGGUCAUCAUCCACCCAAGAAUAAAUAAACAAAAAAAAUAAAUAAAUAAAAAAUAAAUAUCCAUGUCGGUAACUAAACACAUGACUCAAUUAUUAUAUAGAUCUCCACCGAAUAUAUAAAAUAGAGUUCACGUCACUUAAUCCUCAGUUGCCGAUGUGUUCCGAGGACAGUUUCCAGUCACCAAUGCGUUACGAGCAAUAUUUGUAUGCAUAAUUGAGCCUCGGAAAAAGUCUCUCGGGUGAGCAAUGAUAGAAAAUGUGUGUGUGUGUGUGUGUGUGUGUGUGUGUGUGUGUGUCGGUAUUUGUGUUGCUAGCUAACGGAAUCUCACUCACACACACACACACACACACACACACACACACGCAAAGAUGAUGGAAGACGUCUAAGGAGUCACAAUCAACAUCCAUGUUACGAGGAAUCUAACACCACACUGAGGACACCAAGAGGGUUCGAACACGUAUAAGAAAGAGCCCAGGCGUCUUUUACCCAUUUAAGACGUCAGGCGGAGGGUGGAGGCAUCUAGAAAAGGCGAAGACGUCUCGGAGAUCUAGACGUCUAUAUGGCAUGGUGUAGGCGGCCCUCGGACUAGCCUCACAUCAUUAAACGUCCCUGGCUCCUGUUAAGACCAUUUCCCAAAGCCAUGGAGAAGAGUAACUGAGUUUUCGUGGGUGCUUCUCCGAUUCGAGGUGCAGAGGUCGUGCAGAACUAUCACCCAGCAUUACGUAACAGCCCAUCAAAAUCCCGGCAACUUCCACGAGAGGCAUUUCGUAUAGGCAAACCGAGUCGCUGAUAUGGUUGACCCCUUCAACAUGAGGAUGCGUGUACCGUGUCCUAGCGUGCCCCGUACCAUAUCCGAGGAUGUGCACGCUGCGUCCUGGCUCGCUUUAGCCAAUAUACGGGUUAUUUUAUCUCUAUAUUUAUGCUUACAUCUCAAAAUUAUCAGUUAAUUUAUGUUUCCUUAGUGCACCAUUGAAUUCUGCAUGUUUUCAUAUAUAAUACAUGAUGAUUGUGUUGAGUUUAUGGCUGAAAACUUGUUGUAUUCAAUAGCGACAUUUGAAAUUUGGCGUGCACGGCGAUCCCGGAUACGGCGCGGGGCACUGUUUUGGCCCGGCCGUAGUGAAGGGGUUAAGAGUAGGCUAGUUCUCAGGCCAAAACCAAACCCGUAUUACGUUAUUGAAGCGAAUAAAAAAGUUAGGUACAUUCUGGUAAUGGUAUGCUACAGGGGGGAGGUGAGGGGAGGGACAGAGGGGUAGAAGGGUGGAGGUAGAAAAUGGGUUCUUUACAGGGGAAACUAGACAAAAGGUGAGAGAAUUUUACUGGCUAUUGUGGUCAUGGUGUAUGUAGUGAAGGGAUAUGAAAAGAAUGUUAGGACUAUUACGGUCACUCAGCAAAUUUAAUGGGAAAAAAAUAAUAAAAAAAUACGAAGUGAAGAAAAGAUUUGAAGAGGAAGGAAAAAUAGACAAAACGAAGGCAGUCACUCUGUUAUAAGUCCACCGAAAAGAAUGUAUAUAAAUGACUGUGGGGGUCACACAGCAAAUUUAGUGGGAAAAACAACAAAAAAAUCAAUUACGUAUCACAAAACAAAAUUGAAAAAGGUUGAAAAAAUAGACAAAACGGAGGCAGUCACUCCGCUAUAAGUCCAUCGAAAAGGAUAUGAAAAAGUGCAGCAAAACAAAACAAAAGAAAAUCAAUAUUACGUAAACAAAAAACAGAAAACCGGAAUAAGGUUGAAAUAUAGACGAAACGAAGGCAGUCACUCCGCUAUAAGUCCACCGAAAAGGAUAUGAAAAAGUGCAAAAAAACAAAAGAAAAUCACUAUUACGUAAACAGAAAAUCGGAAUAGGGUUUAAAUAUAGACAAAACGAAGGCAGUCACUCCGCUAUAAGUCCACCAAAAAGAACGUAUAUAAUUGACUAUCGGGAAUCACUCGGCAAGUCUAGCUCACUCGUAACGCCUAUAGUAAUAAUAAUGAUGAUGAUGAUGAUGAUGAAUGCUAGGGGUCAUUAUAUCAUUAAGUAAGUGAGGGUGAGGACUAACGACGCUCGGCCGAAGGAAUAAUAAUAAUAAUGAUAAUAAUAAUAAUGAUAAUAAUUACAGUAGGCCUAAAUGACUGGGAAAUCACUGGCCAUUCAAUUAGAGAAAGAGGAAGAAGAAGAAAGAGAGGAACAGAGAAAGAGGGAAAUAGGGAAAUGUGUGAUAAAGAUUGACAAAGAAGAAAAUAGAAGAAAAGAAGAAGAAUAGAUGACAAAUAAGCGAGAGAGAGAGAGAGAGAGAGAGAGAGAGAGAGAGAGAGAGAGAGAGAGAGAGAGAGAGGACAAAAGAAGAAAGAAAGAAGAAAAUAAAGACAGGGGGAUAAGAAAGUGAGAGAAAGAUAGAUUAAAAAAAAGCAAAAAUAAAGGACAGAGAGAGAGAGAGAGAGAGAGAGAACGAGAUAAAGACAAAGAAGAAAGAAGAAAAUGAAGAAAAUUAGAAGAAAACAAAGAAGCGAAGCGACAUGGAGAGAGAGAGAGAGAGAGAGAGAGAGAGAGAGAGAGAGAGAGAGAGAGAGAGAGCGAGAGA